CUAGCGCUGGACGCGCCAUUCACCGAGGAGGAGAUUUGGUACGCUGUCAAGAGUCUGCCGACUGGGAAGGCGCCUGGCCCCGAUGGUUUCUCCUCUUUCUUGGUUGCCUAUUGGGACACGAUCAAGCUUGACUUCCUUGCGGCUUUCGACAAGUUCUACGCCAUGAAUGGUAGAGGCCUGCAAAAGCUCAGUGAGGCCCUUUUUACGCUGCUCCCCAAGCGUGCAGAUGCGCACUCCCUCUUUGACUAUAGACCCAUCAGUCUCAUACACAUCUUCGCCAAGUUGGUUGCGAAGCUUCUCUCCCUUUGUCUUGCUCCACGGCUGAACACCAUGGUCUAUGCCAACCAAAGUGCAUUUAUUGCGGGACGUUGUAUCCACGACAACUACCUCCUUGUGUAG
rnacentral:rRNA from 1 species